rnacentral:misc_RNA from 1 species
UGUAUUGCCCAUGGUUUGCUGCCUCUGCCCCGGUUAUUCUGAGUGUGAAUGGUGUCAAAAUAACGCAGUCGUGUAAUGGCUUGCUUGUUUACUGGUAUUUUAAAAUGGGAACGACCAGCGGGAGUUUUAUCCAUAAUCCAACCAUUUCGCAAUUCGAGAUAUUUUCCCGAGGAAUUUAGGUCGUUUGUUAUGGCUCUUUGCUUGGCUUUUGAUCCUCGGAAAUAAUUGCAACAUAAGGCCCUUUCUGUUCGAUUAGAGGAUUUUUAUAAGAAAACGUAUCGAAUUUGACAUUUAUUCAUCUUAGAAUUUGUUAGGGAUAAACUUCCAUACGGAUGAAGAUAUCCUUCUCUCCUUUGCUGGCAUUAACUGUGGUGGCGCUGCUCAUUGGCCGCCAACGGACCAUAACCGAAUUUCAUUUUAUUUUGAUGUUGAGCAAGUGUUGCUCAAAGGGAUUGCCAAAGCCUAUCAUAUCUCAAUGGAUUGAAGGAUUAUUCUGUAUUUUGGUGUCUGGAG